GUACACUCCUACGGGAGGCAGCAGUGGGGAAUUUUGGACAAUGGGCGAAAGCCUGAUCCAGCAAUGCCGCGUGAGUGAAGACGGCCUUCGGGUUGUAAAGCUCUUUUGUCAGGGAAGAAACGGUGAAAGCUAAUAUCUUUUGCUAAUGACGGUACCUGACGAAUAAGCACCGGCUAACUACGUGCCAGCAGCCGCGGUAAUACGUAGGGUGCAAGCGUUAAUCGGAAUUACUGGGCGUAAAGCGUGCGCAGGCGGUUUUGUAAGUCUGAUGUGAAAUCCCCGGGCUCAACCUGGGAAUUGCAUUGGAGACUGCAAGGCUAGAAUCUGGCAGAGGGGGGUAGAAUUCCACGUGUAGCAGUGAAAUGCGUAGAUAUGUGGAGGAACACCGAUGGCGAAGGCAGCCCCCUGUGUCAAGAUUGACGCUCAUGCACGAAAGCGUGUGGAGCAAACAGGAUUAGAUACCCUGGUAGUCCCAU
rnacentral:rRNA from 1 species